rnacentral:tRNA from 1 species
GCGCGGUUAGCUCAGCGGAAGAGCACUUCCCUUACAAGGAAGGGGCCGCAGGUUCGAACCCUGCACCGCGCA